AAUUCAUCAACACAGACAAUGGGUCCACGUCUUGCAGCUACAGCUGCUGCAGCUACUCCUGCUGUCCGCACCGUUCCACAGUAUAAAUAUGCUGCGGGAGUUUGCAAUCCUCAGCAACAUCUUAAUGCACAGCCACAAGUUACAGUGCAACAGCCUGCUAUUCAUGUACAAGGUCAGGAACCUUUGACUGUUUCCAUGUUGGCAUCUGCCCCUCAAGAGCAAAAGCAAAUGUUGGGUGAAUGGCUGUUUCCUCUUAUUCAAGCCAUGCACCCUACUCUUGCCGGUAAAAUCACUGGCGUGUUGUUGGAGAUUGAUAAUUCAGAACUUCUUCAUAUGCUCAAGUCUCCAGAGUCACUCCAUUCUAAGGUUGAUGAAGCUGUAGCUGUACUACAAGCCCACCAAGCUAAAGAGACUGCCCAGAAAGCAGUUAACAGUGCCACCGGUGUUCCAACUGUUUAA
rnacentral:lncRNA from 1 species